rnacentral:rRNA from 1 species
GUGCCAGCAGCCGCGGUAAUACGGAGGAUCCAAGCGUUAUCCGGAUUUAUUGGGUUUAAAGGGUGCGUAGGCGGUCCUAUAAGUCAGUGGUGAAAGACGGCAGCUUAACUGUCGCAGUGCCUUUGAUACUGUAGGACUUGAAUCUAUUUGAAGUGGGCGGAAUAAGACAAGUAGCGGUGAAAUGCAUAGAUAUGUCUUAGAACUCCGAUUGCGAAGGCAGCUCACUAAGUUAGUAUUGACGCUGAUGCACGAAAGCGUGGGGAUCAAACAGGAUUAGAUACCCCCGUAGUCC